GCAGCGCCACCUUUUGACAAAAGUGGGGGGUUUAGUUUAACCUACAGUCACCAAACUCGGUACACUUAUUGUUCUCAUUAAACUGGACAACUUUCUCAUUUACAGUCAUUAGCUCUGACCAACAGGAAGUCAGAUAUUUUGGUUUAAAUGUGGAUUUUUCAAACAUUCUUACGCACAUACUUAAGCUCUCUUAGACUUAGGGUCUCAGUCCCCCUACCCCCACCCUCUGUGUGUGUGUGUGUGUGUGUGUGUGUGUGUGUGUGUGUGUUGGUUUUUGUGGUUUACGAGGACUUUUGACCUGAAUACGCACCGGCAUUACGGGGACAUUUGGGUUUAUGAGGACACAGGCCAUGUCCUUGUAAUUCCGGCAAUGUAGAUGCCUUUCUCUAUGUCCCAGAAGCACCCUCUCCAAUUUUCGCGGCAUGUCCUUAUAUACCACAAAAACCUGAUUUUAUACCAUACACUGUGUAUCCUCUGUGUACGAGAGUGCGCCCCUGCAGCCGGGUCCUGGUACUGUACCGGCGUCAUCGAAAAUUUGCAUUUUUCACACAAGUGUAAGUAUUGAGGCCUGUGAUUGGUCAGAUCGGUACUGGUAGGCGGGAAAUCACGAAAACAAGAUGGCGCCGACGGGCGGAGCCUAAUUCCGCAGCCCCUAUUGGUUGCAUACGCAAUGAACAACAAGCGAGACAAGAUGGCGCCGGUGGGCAGCUUCAGCUUCAGCAUAGAAGCUGCACCUGAGAAGACAUCUGAGCACCUGAUGGAGGCUACUGUUAUUUUAAAGAAGAUGACAGAAGACACAUCAGAUCAUGCUGAAGUGAAACAGUGAUGGAGAAAGCCCAAUCUCUGGAGGAAGAUGAUUUCACCUGUGUCAGGUAUAUUAUAUGUUAUUUACAGUCAUGAUUUUACUUGUUUUAUUAUUAAAGGUUAAAUGUUACUCCGGGAAAUAGGGCUACACAAUAUUGCAGAAAAUCUGACAUUGCAAUAUUUAGUUUUUCUGCAAUUUAUAUAUUGCAAUAUGAAAACAAUUCCACCAGAUGAAUUGAAUAGCUCUAUUUGAAAAUAAUUAAUCAUUCUAGGAUGAUUGGGAUAAUUUUGUAGGGUAGUGCAUCUGCUUAGAGAAUAAUAAACGAAUUACAAGCUUAGAUAAACACAAUAAAAAUAAGAUACAAAUUAAAAUAAGCAGUGCUUUAUGUUUUUCAGGUUAAUCUAACUGUAUUGAGAUACACACAUUGAGGAAAGCAUGUAUGGGUCCAAUAUUAUAUGCAUCCGUUUUCUUAAUUGUUUACAAUACAGAACCGACUGUUUUCGCUGAGAGUGUUUGUUCAAGCUCAAAGAUAAGAGAAAGAGAACUGAACUCUGUGCAAGUUCAUAUUGUGUUUGAUGUUUAAAUUGACAGGACUUAAAAACACAAGCAAAUGAUAAGCUUUCACUCUAUGAUGGAUAAACUUUGCAGUUAAUACGUGAAUCACAUGCGCUCUUAACCGGGGGCAGCUGGACCGUUCGGAUCAACUACGAUCCCUACACUUGACAUUGCACAUCCUGUGAUGUGACUUUUGUGGAUGCACACAUCGGGAUACAAUGCUAAAACCAUACAUCGUGCAGCCGUAGUCCGUAUGGAUCGCAGAUCAACUAUGAUCCCUAUAGCCUACUUGACUUCAUUUAUACUGCAGUGUCACACCCACAGAUAGGUAUCAGUGACAAAACUAUAUAUUGUGCAGCCCUACAUGGCUUUAUAUAUGCAUUAGGGUUGCACAAUAUAUCGCAUGUGAUUGUCACGCGCAUUUCGUCAGUAAAGCCGGUUCCCUGAUUACUGCUAAAUCGCCAUCACCUGCUUUCAAAU